GCUCCGCGGGACGGGAUGGAGAGAGGGGGGCAGCUACCCAGCCCCAUUCAGAGGCAGGGCCGCUCCUGGGCGCGGGGCGCCGGAAUCGGGGUGCUGAGUGAGCUGCGCAGCGCCCAGCGUGUCUGGGGACCUGGCCGAGUGCAGGGCAGCCGCAGAGGACAGCACCAGGGUUUUUGUCCUGCGUCUCGGGGCUGUGAACACAGAUACUCAGUAUUUCGGCCCAGGCACCCGGCUGACCGUGCUAGAGAACCUGAAAGAGGUGAAGCCACCCCGGGUCACCGUGUUCGAGCCAUCGGAAGCAGAGAUCGCCCGCACCCAGAAGGCCACGCUCGUGUGCCUGGCCACGGGCUUCUACCCCGACCACGUGGAGCUGAGCUGGUGGGUGAAUGGCAAGGAGGUCCAGAGUGGGGUCAGCACCGACCCCCAGCCCUACAAGGAGCACUCCGACCUCAAUGACUCCAGCUACUGCCUGAGCAGCCGGCUGAGGGUCUCGGCCCCCUUCUGGAGCAACCCCCGCAACUACUUCAGCUGCCAAGUCCAGUUCUACGGGCUGGGAGAGGACGACGCUUGGGAGGAGAAGGACGGUCCCAAGCCCACCACCCAGAACAUCAGCGCUGGGGACCUGGGGCAGAGCAGAUUGUGGUGUCACCUCAGCGUCCUAUAAGCAAGGGGUCCUGUCUGCCACCCUCGUGUAUGAGAUCCUGCUGGGGAAGGCCACUGUGUAUGCAGUGCUGGUCAGCGCCCUGGUGCUGAUGGCCAUGGUCAAGAAAAAGGAUUCCUGAGACCAGUUCCAAAAGCACAUCCAGAGUCGUUUUUAGUCCUCUCCCCAGAUUCACCUGUGCAUGAUUCCAGUCUGCGUUCCUAAGGAGGUGUUCUCUCUCCACCUUUUAUCUCCUUCCUGCAUAGACGCCUGUCCCUUCUCUCUGGGGCCCUGCAGACUGAGCGCCUCAACCCUGGAUCUAAACAGAUUAAGCCAAUAAACGUGUUGUGCUGGA